ACAUCUAUGGAUGCUAAGUCUUUUCAGGAAUCCAGCUGAACCCAUUCAAUGCCUUUAAUUAGAGACCUUUUUCAACUGCCACAACUCUUCAAACAUGACAGAGUGACCUUGCCAGCACUUGCUUCUUCAGGACUCUUAUGUUCAUUAGUAACAAAGCAAUGAAAAGAAUACCUGUCAGACUUUGGUUGCCUCUAAACUUCCUAAAUACAUGGGAGCAAGUGAAUGUUCUAUCAGUGGUGCUGGUUCCACAACUGUGAUGUAAAUAAAUCCCAGGUAUUGUGAUGUUAUGCGUUAGACCACAUGGCUGCUAACACUUUCCUGUGAUGUGCAUCUUCAUAUUUGUAGGAGCUUCCUAUCUAUAAGAGGAAAGACAGAUGCUGCUAUCUCAGAGGCAAAGCAUAUUAAAGGACUCUCAGCCUGUGGAUAUCCCUGUACUUCUCUUGGCUGCCAGUUUCCCUUUCCAGCUCGGCUGUGCAGGAGAUCACACAGGUAACGUGCAGGAAAAUCUGUGUAGUACCACCACUGAAGCCCACACAGAAAUAAAAUAAGACAAUGUCUGCCACAAGAAUCAUAGAAUCUGAACAUCAUACUUAAAGUAUUAGCCUGCACAGCUUUGCAGUGGUGUAAUUAUGUUAUAUACAGAGAAGCUCGAUGUGUGGACCUACCAAAACACAUUGUUUUUAUUUAUGCUGCAAAGCUUAACAAACUGAAUAGCACAGCAAGUUGUCUGCCAGAAGAUACCAUGUGGCUGACAAAAGGACAUGUAAAAUUAGAGCUUUUGAAAAAAAAAAAAAAAGACAAUUUUUUAUGUCAGUGUUGAAAUUGAAAAGAAAAAAAAACUUUGAUUAGCUAUACAGAUGUCUUUAUUAAUGAUGGGUAGGAAGGGAAUUUCUUGUUCUAUGAAAAUUAGAUACUGAAAAAAUACUAUUCCUUUCCAACUGAGAUGCAAAUUAAAGCUGUUCUUUAAUUUAAGCUUAGUUCUGGAAUUGUAUUCCAUUUCAUACCAACAACAACAAAAAAAUCGGAAACUAUACGUUUUAUUUCUGAAAAGAAGCUGAAAUGCUCCCUUUUGACAGUUCUGCAACAUUUUCCUAAAAAAACUGUGUAAAAAAGCUCAGACAGAAUGGCCUGCUCACAUAAUUAUUUUAUUUUAUUUUAUUGAUCAGUGUUUUCUGAAAUGUCAAAAAAAUCCUUCUUGUCCUAGUCAAUAUAAUAUCUCCAAGAAUACAUCUGGAAUAAUUACACUGUAGUUGCUUGUAGUUUUCACUCUUGUAAAAGAGGCCAAUGUCAUGUUGCUUGAAAUUUCCUUGAAGCUGUGCCUGUCACUUAAACUUGCUGGUAUAACUCUGAUAUAUCUUCACUGAUAAAUGUUUCUUUUUGUC
rnacentral:lncRNA from 1 species